UUAAGAUUGUUCUAACAAGUCUGAUACAGUGAUGAUAUAACAUGAAGAAUGUUACCAGGCUGAUGGCACAAGGUUUUAAUACUAAUAAUAUUGUCAUAUCAUGACUGUAUUGGACUUGUUGGAACAACCUUGC